rnacentral:rRNA from 1 species
GAUGAACGCUGGCGGCGUGCCUAAUACAUGCAAGUCGAGCGAACGGACGAGAAGCUUGCUUCUCUGAUGUUAGCGGCGGACGGGGGAGUAACACGUGGAUAACCUACCUAUAAGACUGGGAUAACUUCGGGAAACCGGAGCUAAUACCGGAUAAUAUUUUGAACCGCAUGGUUCAAAAGUGAAAGACGGUCUUGCUGUCACUUUUAGAUGGAUCCGCGCUGCAUUAGCUAGUUGGUAAGGUAACGGCUUACCAAGGCAACGAUGCAUAGCCGACCUGAGAGGGUGAUCGGCCACACUGGAACUGAGACACGGUCCAGACUCCUACGGGAGGCAGCAGUAGGGAAUCUUCCGCAAUGGGCGAAAGCCUGACGGAGCAACGCCGCGUGAGUGAUGAAGGUCUUCGGAUCGUAAAACUCUGUUAUUAGGGAAGAACAUAUGUGUAAGUAACUGUGCACAUCUUGACGGUACCUAAUCAGAAAGCCACGGCUAACUACGUG